rnacentral:lncRNA from 1 species
CAGUUCCAGCUGGGCACACUGGGAAGGUCACCCACCUCCCGAGCCCUCCAUGUCCAGGCCAUUGUGGGAAAACCCUCUCCAACAGGGGAGUGAAGGGACAGGAUGGAGCGGGAGCGGCGCCAAAGCACGGGGAGAACCAGAGGCCGCAGGAAUGGCAGACUCUGGACAUGCUCCUAGAGAUGGGAGGUCAAAAUGAUCAACGUUCAGGGUCCCUUCAUCUCAGAGGGUCUCGAGUCACCUCAU